UCCCUGGUGGCUGAGAUGGUAAAGCGUCUGCCUGCAAAGCAGGAGACCUGGGUUCCAUCCCUGGGUCUGGAA
rnacentral:tRNA from 1 species